UCGUGCUAAUUGCCGUUGGCAAUUUUGCUCCCGCUCCAUCGCUUCAUCCCAGGCUUCUUCCCGGGCGAUCACUGCGUCUCUCAAAGCUCGCAUAUCCUUCUCCAGCAACUCAAACUCCGAUCUAAUCGUGUUGAGGGUUACGAAUUAUAAACGAGAAUGGAAUCGCGAGAAUACAAUCGUGAAAGUUAGGUUAGGUUAAAAAGGAGUACUGAAGAGGCAAUAGAUGAUUGGAUUAGCAGCAGAAUUGAGCGAUGACAAACUUUGUAUGAAGGUAGCUACCGCGAUAUUCGUCUGAGUCUUUGGUACGUGUCCGUAUACUUGAAGGAGGUCGAAGACUAUGUAUGGACUCCAGCAGAGGAUAAAUACUAAAAUACAGAAUUGCUUACAUCGCGUGAGUACCGCAAUUAUAUUUUGUGCGCAUAAUAGCGCUAAUUAAUCGUAAUUCGUAGAAAUAUUAGAUAAAAUAUAUUAAGAUAAAAAUGUAUAGCGUUCAUUGUGAUCGCGUAUUUGAAAAAUUAAGAAAAUUAAAGAGAAAAAAAUCAUAAAUAAUUAGAACAGCAAUUUUAAAAUCAGCAUAAAUCAUUUGUGCAAAAAAUUGAUCUAAUAGAAUUCAACAAUGAUUGUCACUUUCAAUGUAUACGCUGUAAAUAAAACACAAUUAUUCGUCACUUUCAAUUAAGAGACCGUUUCUAUGUUAAAUUACAUGAGUAUUACGAAAUCCUAACGAAAAGCGAUAGCUCCAAGUUUGCACCAAUUCCAUUUUAGAUAACGAACCUAACGAACUUAAAAAUAACGAAACGCUCCAUUUGUCUCUUUGAGACAGAUUCUGAUUUAUAUGACAGCCUCCGUUUUAGAGAUAGCACGUACUCGCGAUUGUUCCUACUUUUUGUACCGAAGAAAAUCUUAUAAAACAAUAAAAUUUCAAAAAUAUUGGAGAGAAAAAA